GAUGAACGCUGGCGGCGUGCUUAACACAUGCAAGUCGAGCGAAGCACUUUACUUUGAUUUCUUCGGAUUGAAGAGUGUUGUGACUGAGCGGCGGACGGGUGAGUAACGCGUGGGUAACCUGCCUCAUACAGGGGGAGUAACAGUUAGAAAUGGCUGCAAUACGCAUAAGACCACGGUACCGCAUGGUACAGUGGUAAAACUACCGGUGGUAUGAGAUGGACCCGCGUCU
rnacentral:rRNA from 1 species